rnacentral:rRNA from 1 species
GGAUUAGAUACCCGGGUAGUCCACGCCGUAAACGAUGGAUACUAGCUGUUGGAGGUAUCGACCCCUUCAGUAGCGAAGCUAACGCGUUAAGUAUCCCGCCUGUGGAGUACGGUCGCAAGACUAAAACAUAAAGGAAUUGACGGGGACCCGCACAAGCGGUGGAUCGUGUUCUUUAAUUCGAUGCUAAACGGAGAACCUUACCAGGGUUUGACAUCCUUGGAAUUUCUACGAAAGUAGAAAGUGCUUUAUUGAACCAAGUGACAGCUGUUGCAUGGCCGUCGUCAGCUCGUGUCGUGAGAUGUUUGGUUAAGUCCAUCAACGAGCGCAACCCUUGUGAAUAGUUGAAUUUUUCUAUUCAGACUGCCCCGGUAACGGGGAGGAAGGAGGGGAUGAU